rnacentral:rRNA from 1 species
UGCGAGUCGACACAGCAAUGUGUGGCAUACGGCUCAGUAACACGUAGUCAACAUGCCCAGGGGACGUGGAUAACCUCGGGAAACUGAGGAUAAACCGCGAUAGGUCACUACUUCUGGAAUGGGUAAUGACCCAAACCUAUAUGGCCCCUGGAUUGGACUGCGGCCGAUCAGGCUGUUGGUGAGGUAAUGGCCCACCAAACCUGUAACCGGUACGGGCUCUGAGAGGAGGAGCCCGGAGAUGGGCACUGAGACAAGGGCCCAGGCCCUAUGGGGCGCAGCAGGCGCGAAACCUCUGCAAUAGGCGAAAGCCUGACAGGGUUACUCUGAGUGAUUUCCGUUAAGGAGAUCUUUUGGCACCUCUAAAAAUGGUGCAGAAUAAGGGGUGGGCAAGUCUGGUGUCAGCCGCCGCGGUAAUACCAGCACCCCGAGUGGUCGGGACGUUUAUUGGGCCUAAAGCAUCCGUAGCCGGUUCUACAAGUCUUCCGUUAAAUCCACCUGCUCAACAGAUGGGCUGCGGAAGAUACUAUGGAGCUAGGAGGCGGGAGAGGCAAGCGGUACUCGAUGGGUAGGGGUAAAAUCCGUUGAUCCAUUGAAGACCACCAGUGGCGAAGGCGGCUUGCCAGAACGCGCUCGACGGUGAGGGAUGAAAGCUGGGGGAGCAAACCGGAUUAGAUACCCGGGUAGUCCCAGCUGUAAACGAUGCAGACUCGG